rnacentral:pre_miRNA from 1 species
GGGGGGAGGCCGGAACCUGGGUUGUGUCCUGGCGCCCAGUGCUCCCGGGCCUGUGCUGUUGGAUUCACGCUCCAGGUGGCACAGCCCCCU